UACGUAGGGGGCAAGGCGUUGUCCGGAAUCAUUGGGCGUAAAGCGCGCGUAGGCGGCCCGGUAAGUCCGUUGUGAAAGUCAAAGGCUCAACCUUUGAACGCCGAUGGAUACUGCCGGGCUAGAGUCCGGAAGAGGCGAGUGGAAUUCCUGGUGUAGCGGUGGAAUGCGCAGAUAUCAGGAGGAACACCGGUGGCGAAGGCGGGUCUCUGGGCAGUAACUGACGCUGAGGAGCGAAAGCGUGGGGAGCGAACAGG
rnacentral:rRNA from 1 species